rnacentral:misc_RNA from 1 species
AAGUCGUAACAAGGUAUCCGUAGGUGAACCUGCGGAUGGAUCAUUAACAGUAUUCAAUACUAUUCAACACCUGUGAACUGUAUGGGACGGUUUAUCCUCCCAUUAAUAACAUUAUAAGACUGAAAUCACUAUAUAACAAUUAUAAAACUUUUAGCAACGGAUCUCUGGGCUCUC